CUGGGAUUAGAUACCCCACUAUGCUUGGCAGUAAACCUUAAAUUACACCCCCAAUCGCCCGGGAACUAUGAGCAAAGCUUAAAACCCAAUGGACUUGACGGUACCCCAAAUCCACCUAGAGGAGCCUGUCCUUUAAUCGAUAACCCCCGCUUUACCUCACCACUUCUAGCUAAUCAGCCUGUAUACCUCCGUCGUCAGCUUACCUCGUGAGCGAAAUAUAGUGAGCUCAAUGCCAUUUCACCAAUACGUCAGGUCAAGGUGCAACUCAUGAAGUGGGAAGAGAUGGGCUACACUCCCUAAACUAAGGCACACGAAAAACUAUUUAUGAAAUCUAGUUUGAAGGCGGAUUUAGAAGUAAAAAGAAACCAAAGAGUUCUUUUUAACCCGGCACUGGGGUGUGUACACACCGCCCGUCACCCUC
rnacentral:rRNA from 1 species